rnacentral:rRNA from 1 species
UCAUCCUGGUCAUGUAGAGGUAGUAAUCAGUCGUAACGAGGUUUCACUAGGUGAACCUCGGAAGGAUCAUUA